rnacentral:rRNA from 1 species
GACGAACGCUGGCGGCGUGCCUAACACAUGCAAGUCGAACGGUAAGGCCUUUCGGGGUACACGAGUGGCGAACGGGUGAGUAACACGUGGGUGAUCUGCCCUGCACUUCGGGAUAAGCCCGGGAAACUGGGUCUAAUACCGGAUAGGACUGCGCGGUGCAUGCCGUGUGGUGGAAAGAUUUAUCGGUGCAGGAUGGGCCCGCGGCCUAUCAGCUUGUUGGUGGGGUAAUGGCCUACCAAGGCGACGACGGGUAGCCGGCCUGAGAGGGCGACCGGCCACACUGGGACUGAGACACGGCCCAGACUCCUACGGGAGGCAGCGGUGGGGAAUAUUGCACAAUGGGCGCAAGCCUGAUGCAGCGACGCCGCGUGAGGGAUGACGGCCUUCGGGUUGUAAACCUCUUUCAGCAGGGACGAAGCGUGAGUGACGGUACCUGCAGAAGAGGCACCGGCCAACUACGUG